ACAACAUCUGGACCGUUGUUCUAGCGAGCAAUUUCACCCGCUCGGUGGAAGAUCAAUCCUUUGUCGU
rnacentral:pre_miRNA from 1 species